UACGGAGGGGGCUAGCGUUGUUCGGAAUUACUGGGCGUAAAGCGUACGUAGGCGGCUUUGUAAGUUAGAGGUGAAAGCCCAGAGCUCAACUCUGGAAUUGCCUUUAAGACUGCAUCGCUUGAAUCGUGGAGAGGUUAGUGGAAUUCCGGAGUGUAGAGGUGAAAUUCGCAGAUAUCAGGGAGGAACAACCGGGUGGCCGAAAGGGCGGGUCUCCUGGGGCCGAUACUGACGGCUGAGGAGCGAAAGCGUGGGGGAGCGAACAGGAUGAGACUACCGUGG
rnacentral:rRNA from 1 species